AUUGAACGCUGGCGGCACGCCUAACACAUCCAAGUCGAGCGGAUGAAGGGAGCUUGCUCCUGGAUUCAGCGGCGGACGGGUGAGUAAUGCCUAGGAAUCUGCCUGGUAGUGGGGGAUAACGUCCGGAAACGGGCGCUAAUACCGCAUACGUCCUGAGGGAGAAAGUGGGGGAUCUUCGGACCUCACGCUAUCAGAUGAGCCUAGGUCGGAUUAGCUAGUUGGUGGGGUAAAGGCCUACCAAGGCGACGAUCCGUAACUGGUCUGAGAGGAUGAUCAGUCACACUGGAACUGAGACACGGUCCAGACUCCUACGGGAGGCAGCAGUGGGGAAUAUUAGACGAUGGGCGAAAGCCUGAUCCAGCCAUGCCGCGUGUGUGAAGAAGGUCUUCGGAUUGUAAAGCACUUUAAGUUGGGAGGAAGGGCAGUAAGUUAAUACCUUGCUGUUUUGACGUUACCAACAGAAUAAGCACCGGCUAACUUCGUG
rnacentral:rRNA from 1 species